UCUACAUACCGUCCUCUCUAUAUUAGCAUCAAUAUUAUAAAUUUUUUUUUUUACAGAUUUUCAUCUAAAGUUUUUCAACUUAUCCCUAGCAGCUUGCAACUCCUCAUCCCCCUCACCAUCUGAAAGACAUCUAACAUUAGUCAUAUAAGCUUCAUCAACAUCCUACCAAUCAACAUUCUCCCGCUCACCAUCCGCCUCAAAAUCCCCUUGACAACACCCUUACCAUCCCCUCCCCCCCUUGUUAGACCCUUCAAU
rnacentral:lncRNA from 1 species